rnacentral:ribozyme from 1 species
CAAAAAAAAAAAAAAAAAAAAAAAAAAAAAAAAAAAAAAAAAAAA